AGAGUUUGAUCCUGGCUCAGGGCUAACGCUGGCGGCGUGUCUUAGACAUGCAAGUCGAACGGGUAAUGCCUUGUAGCAAUACAAGGUAGUACUAGUGGCGAACGGGUGAUUAACACUGGAGUAAUCUACCCCGAGGUGGGGGAUAAUCCGCCGAAAGGCGGACUAAUACCCCGUACGAUCCUUAUUUUGCAUGAGAUGAGGAGGAUAGGCGGCUUCGGCUGUCGCCUUGGGUUGAGCUCCUGGCUUAUCAGCUUGUUGGUGAGGUAACGGCCCACCAAGGCUAUGACGAGUAGCCGGUGUGAGAGCAUGACCGGCCACACGGGAACUGCGACACGGUCCCGACUCCUACGGGAGGCAGCAGUCUAGAAAUUUGGGCAAUGGGCGAAAGCCUGACCCAGCGACGCCGCGUGGAGGAUGGAGUCCUUCGGGAUGUAAACUCCUGUUGGUCCAGAUGAAGCUCGAGGGUCGAAUAGGCCCAAAGGGUUGACCGUACGGACCGAGGAAGCCCCGGCUAACUACGUGCCAGCAGCCGCGGUAAAACGUAGGGGGCAAGCGUUGCCCGGAUUCACUGGGUGUAAAGGGUGUGCAGGCGGACCGAUAAGUCGAAUGUGAAAUUUCACGACUUAAUCGCGAAACGGCGUUCGAUACUACCGGUCUUGAGGGCAGGAGAGGAUGACGGAACUUCCGGUGUAACGGUAGAAUGCGUAGAUAUCGGAAGGAACGCCUACGGCGAAAGCAGUCAUCUGGAAUGUUCCUGACGCUGAAACACGAAAGCUGGGGGGAGCAAACAGGAUUAGAUA
rnacentral:rRNA from 1 species